rnacentral:rRNA from 1 species
AAUAGAUACCCUGGUAGUCCACGCCGUAAACGAUGAGUGCUAAGUGUUAGGGGGUUUCCGCCCCUUAGUGCUGCAGCUAACGCAUUAAGCACUCCGCCUGGGGAGUACGGUCGCAAGACUGAAACUCAAAGGAAUUGACGGGGGCCCGCACAAGCGGUGGAGCAUGUGGUUUAAUUCGAAGCAACGCGAAGAACCUUACCAGGUCUUGACAUCCCGCUGACCGCUAUGGAGACAUAGCCUUCCCUUCGGGGACAGCGGUGACAGGUGGUGCAUGGUUGUCGUCAGCUCGUGUCGUGAGAUGUUGGGUUAAGUCCCGCAACGAGCGCAACCCUUGAGAUUAGUUGCCAUCAUUCAGUUGGGCACUCUAAUCUGACUGCCGGUGAUAAACCGGAGGAAGGUGGGGAUGACGUCAAAUCAUCAUGCCCCUUAUGACCUGGGCUACACGCGUGCUACAAUGGACGGUACAAACGGUUGCCAACCCGGCGAGGGGGAGCCAAUCCGAUAAAACCGUUCUCAGUUCGGAUUGUAGGCUGCAACUCG